AACAUAUAAUUCCAUUCACACUUUCAUUCCAUGAUUCACUUCACAAUAUUCAGAAACUCUCAAUACUCUUAUUUCAAAGAACAUAACAACAAAAGAAAAGAGGUAGCACCAAGCUUACCCCGGCUCACACUAUCAUAGUAAUGGCGGUUUCUUCCUCUCUCUCAUCCUCUUUAUCCUACCACAAGAUACCAACUGCUACAUCUCUAAUGAAAACUGCUUUUCCUAACUAUUCAUCCAUUUUAACUACUGAACUACCUUUCUAACAGUCAUCUAUUCCUGUUUACACUAUAAACUAAGUAUCUACAAAUCAGUAAAUAACUACUUAUUCUACAUAGCCCCACUCCUAACUAUGCAACGUCCUCGCAAACAACCAGUUUGAAAUUGAACUGGUGACUCCUUAGCAUUUUCCAUACUCAUUGCUACUGAUUACAAUUCUAAAGUCACUUCUUCGUCUUCCCCGUCUGAUACAUUUAUUGGGACU
rnacentral:lncRNA from 1 species